rnacentral:lncRNA from 1 species
UCACUGGGAAUCUUCCCAACAUAUUCGAUAAGAGUAGUUAUCUGAUAACACUUGACGUUAGCCACAAUCAAAUAACUGGGAAGCUUCCAAGGUCUCUUACAAAUUGCACAAACCUAGAGUUUGUAAAUGUGGGGAGCAAUAGAAUCGCUGACAGCUUUCCGUUUUGGCUGAAGGAUCUACCGAACCUACAAGUCAUUGUCUUACAAUCAAAUAUGUUCCAUGGUCCAAUCUAUUCCCCUCAACAUCCUCUAUCAUUUCCACAACUGAGAAUAAUGGACAUAUCAGGUAAUAAAUUCACCGGAAGCCUACCACAUGAUUACUUUAUCAAUUGGAGUAAACUCUUGAUCAGUAUUCCCCAGGAGAAAAGAGAGUACGUGGGAUAUGAUUCUAUGUAUGAUUAUUACCCUUCCAUGUAUUUGAGAAGCAAAGGAAUAAACAUGGAGCUGGAAAAGAUCCUUGUGACCUACACAGCCAUUGAUUUCUCUGAAAACAAACUUGUAGGACAGAUUCCAGAAUCUUUAGGCCUUUUGAAAUCUCUUAUUGUGCUCAACCUAUCCAACAAUCAUUUUACAGGUCACGUUCCAUCCUCUUGGGCUAAACUCACGAGGCUCGAGUCACUAGACCUAUCUCGGAACCAACUUUCUGGAAAAAUACCGCAGGAGCUAGCAACCCUCUCGUUUUUGGAGUACAUUGAUGUUUCACAUAACAAACUCACGGGACAGAUACCACAGUCUACACAGAUUGGAGGACAGCCUAAAUCAUCUUUUGAAGGGAAUAUCAAUCUUUGUGGUCUUCCUCUUGAGCAGAGUUGCUUCAGUGACAAGGUACCAUCAACACCAGAGGCACAAGGGCCAUGGCCUCAAAAGCAAGAACAAGUGUUAAAUGGACAGCCACAGACGUCCUGUGUGUGCUGAAGGACACACACGUACACACAUUCAAAUUGCACAAACCUAGAGUUUGUAAAUGUGGGGAGCAAUAGAAUCGCUGACAGCUUUCCGUUUUGGCUGAAGGAUCUACCGAACCUACAAGUCAUUGUCUUACAAUCAAAUAUGUUCCAUGGUCCAAUCUAUUCCCCUCAACAUCCUCUAUCAUUUCCACAACUGAGAAUAAUGGACAUAUCAGGUAAUAAAUUCACCGGAAGCCUACCACAUGAUUACUUUAUCAAUUGGAGUAAACUCUUGAUCAGUAUUCCCCAGG